UCAUGCCUGCUUUCACACGUGGAUCAUCCAUUAACAUCUGUACUGUCGUUGCUCCGCCAAAUGAAUGCCCAAACAUGCCGAUGUUGUCCAGAUCCAUACGUCCUGUAAAGCGUCCGCUCGGAUCUCCCGUACCCAACUUCUCUACCUCAUCCAGUACAAACUGUGCAUCCUUCACCCAUGUCUCAUUCAACUUGUCCAUGUAACUGAAUUGCAGCUGUUCAAAGCCUUCUUUUCCUUCCGAUUCAAACUGCGCCACACGUCCAUCCGGGAAUACGGAUACCAGACUGCUAUACGUGUGAUUAAUGCCUACAACAAUGUAACCUUGACUGACCAGCUGCUCAACCUGGAACGUAUUCUGAUUUUCAUACCCAUGCAGACCAUGAGAGAAAAGAACAACCGGAUACUUGGCUUCGGCCUCAGACAACUGAGCUUCCUGUAUCGCAUGUGUUUUGACCUGACGCAGACUGGAAAAUAAAAGCUUUGGCAGUUUCUGGCCCAGGCCGAGGCGGAGGGCAUGCGCCCGCGCCAGAAUUGGCUGGCCCGGCCGCUGGUCGUGCUGUUGCCCUUCCUCUGCCUGUCCCUUGGCGUCUUCGCGCUCACAUUGCUCGUGCGCCCGCUCGGAUUGGGCAGCCCGCCCGUGUGGAUCGACGGCUUCCUGCCCUUGGUCCUGCUGCUGGUCGGCGUGCGCUACCUGAUCGAUCCUUCCUCCAUCCACGGCACGCGUGCCGACGUCUCGCGUGGACUCGGCUUCGCUUUCAUCGGCGUCUCCGCCGUCCUUCUCGUCCUCAAGUUCAUCUAGUUCGUCACGGAGUAACCCCAAUGCCGCUUCUCGAAGCCCGCAAGACCUACAGUAACGUGGAGGAACGUAGAAGUUCCACGAUGUUAUCGUGUGCAAGUUCCGACUCCUCUAAUCGUGCCCACAUGUUGAGAAUCCACGCCCUGCUCCAUCCUGUGUGUCCACCACCGUGUUCCAGUCUUCUGUCGAGUGUUACACGAGCUGCCUUGGCCAGGUCAGGCGUUGAUUGCAACGUAAUUUGCGUUCCAGGAUGCAAAGCGAAUAAAUGGGAAAUAUGUCUGUGACCCGGUUCCAAUUCAUCAUAAUCGUUACUCCAUUCUUGGAUCUGGCCAUGUUUGCCAAUGGAGGUCUCCGGUAUUUUGGUUAAAGCACUGCGGAGUACUUCUCCAAAUUCCUGAUCUUCUUGCAAUAUUCGGGUACUUUCAAUGCAACGCGUGAAGAGUUCUCUAAUAAUCUUAGCGAAGGUCAUGAUCUCACACUGCCAAGAAAAGCCUCUAGCCAGGUGAUGGUGCCCGUACCGCAAACCGACACAGGUAGGCGAGAAGAGUAUUCUAAGGCGCGCGGAAGAACUCUCGUUAAGGAACUCGGCAAAAUGACCCCGUAACUUCGGGAGAAGGGGUGCCCCGGUAGUGUGAAUAGCACGAGGGGGCCGCAGUGAAAAGGCCCAAGCGACUGUUUAGCAAAAACACAGGUCUGUGCGAAGCCGUAAGGCGAAGUAUACGGGCUGACGCCUGCCCGGUGCUGGAAGGUUAAGGGGAGUGGUUAGGAGCAAUCCGAAGCUGUGAACCGAAGCCCCAGUAAACGGCGGCCGUAACUAUAACGGUCCUAAGGUAGCGAAAUUCCUUGUCAGGUAAAUUCUGACCCGCACGAAUGGCGUAACGACUUGGGCGCUGUCUCAACGAGAGAUCCGGUGAAAUUUUAAUACCUGUGAAGAUGCAGGUUACCCGCGACAAGACGGAAAGACCCCAUGGAGCUUUACUGCAGCUUGAUAUUGAAUUUGGGUACGAUCUGUACAGGAUAGGUGGGAGCCUUUGAAACGUGAGCGCCAGCUUGCGUGGAGGCAACGUUGGGAUACCACCCUGAUCGUAUCUAGGUUCUAACCUGGUACCGUAAUCCGGUGCGGGGACAGUGUCAGGUGGGCAGUUUGACUGGGGCGGUCGCCACCUAAAGAGUAACGGAGGCGCCCAAAGGUUCCCUCAGAAUGGUUGGAAAUCAUUCGAAGAGUGCAAAGGCAUAAGGGAGCUUGACUGCGAGACCUACAAGUCGAGCAGGGACGAAAGUCGGGCUUAGUGAUCCGGUGGUACCGCAUGGAAGGGCCAUCGCUCAACGGAUAAAAGCUACCCUGGGGAUAACAGGCUUAUCUCCCCCAAGAGUCCACAUCGACGGGGAGGUUUGGCACCUCGAUGUCGGCUCAUCGCAUCCUGGGGCUGAAGUAGGUCCCAAGGGUUACCAUUCCACUAACAAGAAUUGCGUUUAAAUACGUAGUCGCCUUUGUGGUAUUUGUUUCUCUUGUACUGUUAUCCGCAGAUAGCCGCAGACAAUUGGGGCAAAUGAAUGAUGCCAUAUUACGUGAUAUGAAAUAUGCAGCAACUGCGGUUGUUCAGGAUCUUGAUGAAGAGUACGUUACCUCUGAGAAUAUGGAUCAGAAUAUGGCGCGUUAUCAUCAUCUACUGGGUGUGAAUGUGAUUCUGCUGAAUCGCAAUGAUACAGUCGUC
rnacentral:rRNA from 1 species